GUCCACGCCGUAAACGAUGGGAACCUGACGUCGGCCUGCUCUGCGGGUCGGUGUCGUAGCUAACGCGCUAAGUUCCCCGCCUGGGGGAGUACGGCCGCAAGGUUGAAACUCAAAGGAAUUGACGGGGGCCCGCACAAGCGGUGGAGUAUGUGGUUUAAUUCGAUGCAACGCGAAGAACCUUACCUGGGCUUGACAUGCUAGGAAAUCCUGCAGAGAUGCGGGAGUGCCCGCAAGGGAACCUAGACACAGGUGCUGCAUGGCUGUCGU
rnacentral:rRNA from 1 species